AUGUGCAGACUCUUAACCAGCCAGCCCCAGGGAGGCCCAGGCCCUGGGCACGCAAAGGCAGGGACUUCUUUCCCCAGACCCUGCCAGGGCAGGCUGGACUGCUUCCCUGUCUCCCUCCCCACUGUCCUCUCCCAACUGUCACCCCUGCCUCCCUCUUCCACUGUCCUCCCCCCACUCUCCCCACUGUCCCCCGCACUCCCUGCUGUCCCCCAUUCUUCACUGUCCCCCCACUCCCCACUGUCCCUCCCACUCCCCACUGUCCCUCCCACUCCCUGCUGUCCCCCAUUCUUCACUGUCCCCCCACUCCCCACUGCCCCUCCCACUCCCCACUGCCCCUCCCACUCCCCACUGUCCCCCCCACUCCCCACUGUCCCUCCCACUCCCCACUGUCCCUCCCACUCCCUGCUGUCCCCCAUUCUUCACUGUCCCCCCACUCCCCACUGCCCCUCCCACUCCCCACUGUCCCCCCCACUCCCCACUGUCCCCCCCACUCCCACUGUCCCUCCCACUCCCCACUGUCCCUCCCACUACCCGCUGUCGCCCAUUCUUCACUGUCCCUCCCACUCCCCAGUCCCUCCCACUCCCCACUGCCCCUCCCACUCCCCACUGUCCCCCCACACUCCCCACUGUCCCCUCCCACUCCCCACUGCCCCUCCCACUCCCCACUGUCCCCCCCACUCCCCACUGUCCCCCCCACUCCCACUGUCCCUCCCACUCCCCACUGUCCCUCCCACUACCCGCUGUCGCCCAUUCUUCACUGUCCCUCCCACUCCCCAGUCCCUCCCACUCCCCACUGCCCCUCCCACUCCCCACUGUCCCCCCACACUCCCCACUGUCCCCUCCCACUCCCCACUGUCCCUCCCACUCCCCACUGUCCCCCCCACUCCCCACUGUCCCCCCAACUCCCCACUGUCCCCCGGCUCCCCCCACAUGGACUUGGCCAUGUCCUUCUGGGCCUUGCCGUCUGAGUUCCCCUUAUGCCCCGGGCUGCAGCUGGCCAUGCAGGGAGCAAGCUCCAGCGCCUGA
rnacentral:lncRNA from 1 species